rnacentral:rRNA from 1 species
GUGCUUGCACUUUAUCAUUCUUAGCGGCGGACGGGUGAGUAACGCGUGGAUAAUCUGCCCUUGACAUUGGAAUAACAUUCAGAAAUGGAUGCUAAAACCGAAUAAGCUUACGCAACCGCAUGGUAGAGUAAGAAAAUAUUAAUAGGUCAAGGAGGAGUCCGCGUCUGAUUAGCUAGUUGGAGAGGUAAGAGCUCACCAAGGCGACGAUCAGUAGCCGACCUGAGAGGGUGAUCGGCCACAUUGGGACUGAGACACGGCCCAAACUCCUACGGGAGGCAGCAGUGGGGAAUAUUGCACAAUGGGGGAAACCCUGAUGCAGCAACGCCGCGUGAAGGAAGAAGGUUUUCGGAUCGUAAACUUCUAUCGACGGGGAAGAAAAAAAUGACGGUACCCGAAUAAGAAGCCCCGGCUAACUACGUGCCAGCAGCCGCGGUAAUACGUAGGGGGCAAGCGUUAUCCGGAAUCACUGGGUGUAAAGGGUGAGUAGGCGGUUUAAUAAGUCAUGUGUGAAAGCCCCAUGCUUAACAUGGGGACUGCACAAGAAACUGUAAGACUAGAGUACAGGAGAGGUAAGUGGAAUUCCUAGUGUAGCGGUGAAAUGCGUAGAUAUUA